rnacentral:tRNA from 1 species
AGCUUUAUAGUAAAAUUUAUACUAGAUUGCAAAUCUAGAGAUGUGUGAAAUGAACACUAAUGCUU